rnacentral:rRNA from 1 species
CGUCACACUAUCAUUAACUGAAUCCAUAGGUUAAUGAGGCGAACCGGGGGAACUGAAACAUCUAAGUACCCCGAGGAAAAGAAAUCAACCGAGAUUCCCCCAGUAGCGGCGAGCGAACGGGGAGGAGCCCAGAGCCUGAAUCAGCAUGUGUGUUAGUGGAAGCGUCUGGAAAGGCGCGCGAUACAGGGUGACAGCCCCGUACACAAAAGCGCAUGUGCUGUGAGCUCGAUGAGUAGGGCGGGACACGUGGUAUCCUGUCUGAAUAUGGGGGGACCAUCCUCCAAGGCUAAAUACUCCUGACUGACCGAUAGUGAACCAGUACCGUGAGGGAAAGGCGAAAAGAACCCCGGCGAGGGGAGUGAAAAAGAACCUGAAACCGUGUACGUACAAGCAGUGGGAGCACCCUUCGGGGUGUGACUGCGUACCUUUUGUAUAAUGGGUCAGCGACUUAUAUUCUGUAGCAAGGUUAACCGUAUAGGGGAGCCGGAGGGAAACCGAGUCUUAACCGGGCGUUAAGUUGCAGGGUAUAGACCCGAAACCCGGUGAUCUAGCCAUGGGCAGGUUGAAGGUUGGGUAACACUAACUGGAGGACCGAACCGACUAAUGUUGAAAAAUUAGCGGAUGACCUGUGGCUGGGGGUGAAAGGCCAAUCAAACCGGGAGAUAGCUGGUUCUCCCCGAAAGCUAUUUAGGUAGCGCCUCGUGAAUUCAUCUCCGGGGGUAGAGCACUGUUUCGGCUAGGGGGCCAUCCCGGCUUACCAACCCGAUGCAAACUGCGAAUACCGGAGAAUGUUAUCACGGGAGACACACGGCGGGUGCUAACGUCCGUCGUGAAGAGGGAAACAACCCAGACCGCCAGCUAAGGUCCCAAAGUCAUGGUUAAGUGGGAAACGAUGUGGGAAGGCCCAGACAGCCAGGAUGUUGGCUUAGAAGCAGCCAUCAUUUAAAGAAAGCGUAAUAGCUCACUGGUCGAGUCGGCCUGCGCGGAAGAUGUAACGGGGCUAAACCAUGCACCGAAGCUGCGGCAGCGAACGUAUCACCCAAGACAACUUUACGGAGUUGACGAUUGACGGAGCGAAGCGACGUCAAAGCGUUCAUUAAAGUCGAGUUGGCUUAGGGAUACGUUCGUUGGGUAGGGGAGCGUUCUGUAAGCCUGUGAAGGUGUGUCGUGAGGCAUGCUGGAGGUAUCAGAAGUGCGAAUGCUGACAUAAGUAACGAUAAAGCGGGUGAAAAGCCCGCUCGCCGGAAGACCAAGGGUUCCUGUCCAACGUUAAUCGGGGCAGGGUGAGUCGACCCCUAAGGCGAGGCCGAAAGGCGUAGUCGAUGGGAAACGGGUUAAUAUUCCCGUACUUGGUGUUACUGCGAAGGGGGGACGGAGAAGGCUAUGUUGGCCGGGCGACGGUUGUCCCGGUUUAAGCGUGUAGGUGUGUGUUCCAGGUAAAUCCGGUUCACUUUAACACUGAGGCGUGACGACGAGGCACUACGGUGCUGAAGCAACAAAUGCCCUGCUUCCAGGAAAAGCCUCUAAGCAUCAGGUAACAUCAAAUCGUACCCCAAACCGACACAGGUGGUCAGGUAGAGAAUACCAAGGCGCUUGAGAGAACUCGGGUGAAGGAACUAGGCAAAAUGGUGCCGUAACUUCGGGAGAAGGCACGCUGACACGUAGGUGAAGUGAUUUACUCAUGGAGCUGAAGUCAGUCGAAGAUACCAGCUGGCUGCAACUGUUUAUUAAAAACACAGCACUGUGCAAACACGAAAGUGGACGUAUACGGUGUGACGCCUGCCCGGUGCCGGAAGGUUAAUUGAUGGGGUCAGCGCAAGCGAAGCUCCUGAUCGAAGCCCCGGUAAACGGCGGCCGUAACUAUAACGGUCCUAAGGUAGCGAAAUUCCUUGUCGGGUAAGUUCCGACCUGCACGAAUGGCGUAAUGAUGGCCAGGCUGUCUCCACCCGAGACUCAGUGAAAUUGAACUCGCUGUGAAGAUGCAGUGUACCCGCGGCAAGACGGAAAGACCCCGUGAACCUUUACUAUAGCUUGACACUGAACAUUGAGCCUUGAUGUGUAGGAUAGGUGGGAGGCUUUGAAGUGUGGACGCCAGUCUGCAUGGAGCCGACCUUGAAAUACCACCCUUUAAUGUUUGAUGUUCUAACGUGGACCCGUAAUCCGGGUUGCGGACAGUGUCUGGUGGGUAGUUUGACUGGGGCGGUCUCCUCCUAAAGAGUAACGGAGGAGCACGAAGGUUGGCUAAUCCUGGUCGGACAUCAGGAGGUUAGUGCAAUGGCAUAAGCCAGCUUGACUGCGAGCGUGACGGCGCGAGCAGGUGCGAAAGCAGGUCAUAGUGAUCCGGUGGUUCUGAAUGGAAGGGCCAUCGCUCAACGGAUAAAAGGUACUCCGGGGAUAACAGGCUGAUACCGCCCAAGAGUUCAUAUCGACGGCGGUGUUUGGCACCUCGAUGUCGGCUCAUCACAUCCUGGGGCUGAAGUAGGUCCCAAGGGUAUGGCUGUUCGCCAUUUAAAGUGGUACGCGAGCUGGGUUUAGAACGUCGUGAGACAGUUCGGUCCCUAUCUGCCGUGGGCGCUGGAGAACUGAGGGGGGCUGCUCCUAGUACGAGAGGACCGGAGUGGACGCAUCACUGGUGUUCGGGUUGUCAUGCCAAUGGCACUGCCCGGUAGCUAAAUGCGGAAGAGAUAAGUGCUGAAAGCAUCUAAGCACGAAACUUGCCCCGAGAUGAGUUCUCCCUGAGACUUAGAGUCUCCUGAAGGAACGUUGAAGACGACGACGUUGAUAGGCCGGGUGUGUAAGCGCAGCGAUGCGUUGAGCUAACCGGUACUAAUGAACCGUGAGGCUUAACCUU